rnacentral:rRNA from 1 species
AAAUUGAAGAGUUUGAUCAUGGCUCAGAUUGAACGCUGGCGGCAGGCCUAACACAUGCAAGUCGAACGGUAACAGGAAGCAGCUUGCUGUUUCGCUGACGAGUGGCGGACGGGUGAGUAAUGUCUGGGAAACUGCCUGAUGGAGGGGGAUAACUACUGGAAACGGUAGCUAA